AUGGAAGUGAUGAUCCUUUCCCCAAAUGAUCGAAGCUGAUUAAACUGUGCGAUUUUUCUCUUUUGAGAAACCAAGCCAAAUGUUCUGAUCCAU